GACGAACGCUGGCGGCGUGCCUAAUACAUGCAAGUCGAGCGGGGAUUAUGCUUGAUCGCUUCGGUGAGACGGCAUAUAUCCUAGCGGCGGACGGGUGAGUAACGCGUGGGUAAUCUACCUCGUAGUUCGGGAUAACAGGCCGAAAGGCUUGCUAAUACCGGAUGAGUUCAUGCUUAUGCAUAUAGGCAUGAAGAAAGGGCUAGCCCGCUAUGAGAUGAGCCCGCGUCCCAUUAGCUUGUUGGUGGGGUAAUGGCCUACCAAGGCAACGAUGGGUAGCCGGCCUGAGAGGGUGUACGGCCACACUGGGACUGAGACACGGCCCAGACUCCUACGGGGGGCAGCAGUAGGGAAUUUUCGGCAAUGGGCGAAGCCUGACCGAGCGACGCCGCGUGAGGGACGAAGGCCUUCGGGUUGUAACCUCUGUCGUGGGGGAUGAGGAACGGACGGUACCCCGGACGGAACGGCCCCGGACUAACCGUACGUCGCCGAGCACGGCCGCGGUAAUAGUACUCGUAUCCG
rnacentral:rRNA from 1 species